CAGCCGCCGCGGUAAUACGUAGGUGGCAAGCGUUGUCCGGAAUUAUUGGGCGUAAAGGGCUCGCAGGCGGUUUCUUAAGUCUGAUGUGGAAGCCCCCGGCUCAACCGGGGAGGGUCAUUGGAAACUGGGAAACUUGAGUGCAGAAGAGGAGAGUGGAAUUCCACGUGUAGCGGUGAAAUGCGUAGAGAUGUGGAGGAACACCAGUGGCGAAGGCGACUCUCUGGUCUGUAACUGACGCUGAGGAGCGAAAGCGUGGGGAGCGAACAGGAUUAGAUACCCGUGUAGUCCCUGUCUCUUAUAC
rnacentral:rRNA from 1 species